rnacentral:rRNA from 1 species
UACGUGGGGUGCGAGCGUUGUCCGGAAUUAUUGGGCGUAAAGAGCUUGUAGGCGGUUUGUCGCGUCUGCUGUGAAAUCUCAAGGCUCAACCUUGAGCUUGCAGUGGGUACGGGCAGACUAGAGUGUGGUAGGGGAGACUGGAAUUCCUGGUGUAGCGGUGAAAUGCGCAGAUAUCAGGAGGAACACCGAUGGCGAAGGCAGGUCUCUGGGCCACUACUGACGCUGAGAAGCGAAAGCAUGGGGAGCGAACAGG